rnacentral:rRNA from 1 species
GCGUAUAUUAAGUUGUUGCAGUUAAAAAGCUCGUAGUUGAAUUUCGGGGUCAGCAGGUUGGUCGUGCCACUGGUAUGUACUGGCUUCGCUGAUUCCUCCUUUCUGAAGAACUGUAAUGUCAUUAAUUUGGUGUUGCAGGGAAACAGGACUGUUACUUUGAAAAAAUUAGAGUGUUUAAAGCAGGCUAACGCUUGAAUACAUUAGCAUGGAAUAAUGAAAUAGGACGUUCGAUCCUAUUUUGUUGGUUUCUAGGAUUGACGUAAUGAUUAAUAGGGAUAGUUGGGGGCAUUAGUAUUCAAUUGUCAGAGGUGAAAUUCUUGGAUUUAUUGAAGACUAACUACUGCGAAAGCAUUUGCCAAGGAUGUUUUCAUUAAUCAAGAACGAAAGUUAGGGGAUCGAAGACGAUCAGAUACCGUCGUAGUCUUAACCAUAAA